AUCCGGCUGACGAGUCUCAAAUAGGACGAAACGUGCAUCCUGGAC
rnacentral:hammerhead_ribozyme from 1 species